rnacentral:sRNA from 1 species
UGGACAGGGGGGUUCCCGCUCUCACCGAACGGGGCCUGUCCAAUCAGGUCACGCGCACCGCGUGGCCCAUGGUUGUCGCUCGGGGGUGAUCGCCG